GAACAGAAACAUGACUGUACACUGGUCUGGCAUCUAUGUGCCUCAUUUCUUCAUUUCAUCUCUAGUCUCUGUCAGAAGGUUUCUCUCUGUCUUGUUUGCUUUAUUAAACUUUAACAUUAGAUUAACGCUCUUGACAGUCCUUGACCGUUCCCAUCCACCCUCACUGUAUGGAAUAAAGAAACCUGAACGUCCUUCAAAACGUCUUCCAUUGUGGUCCUACAGGUCCUACAGCUGAAAAAUCUCCAUCCCAGCAUUGACCGUAUACAGAUAUGCUCCAGCGAGCUUUCGUGAGGGAUGUUGCUGGAUAUGAAAUUACCAGGAACCGAAAUGCACCUGCUACAAGUGUCUGUAUCAGAAAAGGCACGUUGUUAAAAUGCAAUAAGUGACCCUGGAGCACAAAAGCAAUCUUAAGUCUCUGGGGUAUAUUUGUAGCAAUAGCCAAGAAAUACAUAGUAUGGGUCAAAAUUAUAGGUUUUUCUUUUAUGACACAAAUCAUUAGGAUAUUAAGUAAAGAUCAUGUUCCAUGAAGAUAUUUUGUACAUUCCCUACCGUAAAUAUAUCAAAACUUAAUUUUUGAUUUGUAAUAUGCAUUGCUAAGAACGUCAUUUGAACAACUUUAAAGGUGAUUUUCUCAAUAUUUAGAUUUUUUUGCACCUUCAGAUUUCAGAU
ensembl:lncRNA